UACGGAGGGAGCUAGCGUUGUUCGGAAUUACUGGGCGUAAAGCGCGCGUAGGCGGCUAUUCAAGGCAGAGGUGAAAGCCCGGGGCUCAACCCCGGAACGGCCUUUGAAACUAGAUAGCUAGAAUCUUGGAGAGGCGAGUGGAAUUCCGAGUGUAGAGGUGAAAUUCGUAGAUAUUCGGAAGAACACCAGUGGCGAAGGCGACUCGCUGGACAAGUAUUGACGCUGAGGUGCGAAAGCGUGGGGAGCAAACAGG
rnacentral:rRNA from 1 species